rnacentral:rRNA from 1 species
CGUGAGUGAUGAAGGCUUUCGGGUCGUAAAGCUCUGUCAAGUGGGAAGAACCUAUAUAAUGUUAAUACCAUUAUAUAUUGACGGUACCACUGAAGGAAGCACCGGCUAACUCCGUGCCAGCAGCCGCGGUAAUACGGGGGGUGCAAGCGUUAUUCGGAAUCAUUGGGCGUAAAGAGCACGUAGGCGGCCUGGUAAGUCAGAUGUGAAAGCCCGGGGCUUAACCUCGGAAGUGCAUUUGAUACUGCCAGGCUUGAGUAUGGGAGAGGGAAGUGGAAUUCCUGGUGUAGAGGUGAAAUUCGUAGAUAUCAGGAGGAACACCGGUGGCGAAGGCGACUUCCUGGACCAAUACUGACGCUGAGGUGCGAAGGCGUGGGUAGCAAACAGGAUUAGAUACCCUGGUAGUCCACGCAGUAAACGUUGAUCACUAGGUGUAGCGGGUAUUGACCCCUGCUGUGCCGCAGUUAACGCAUUAA